rnacentral:rRNA from 1 species
AAAAACAUGGCCUAUUGAAAAUAAUUUUAGGUCUAACCUGCUCAAUGAAUUUUAAAUAGCCGCAGUACACUGACUGUGCAAAGGUAGCAUAAUCAUUAGUUUUUUAAUUGAAAGCUGGAAUGAAAGGUAGGAUGAGAAAAUUUCUGUCUCUGUAAAAAUUUCAUAGAAUUUUAUUUUUAAGUAAAAAAGCUUAAAUAAUAAUAAAAGACGAGAAGACCCUAUAGAGUUUUAUAUUUAAAUCCAGUAUUUGUUUAAGUAUUUUAAUAUUUAUUUGAUUGAUAAUAUUUGGUUGGGGUGAUUGGAAAAUUAAUUAAACUUUACUUUAAUAUAAGACAUUGAUUUGUGGAUAAAUGAUCCUUUGGUAUUAGAGAUUAUAAGAUAAAAUUACCUUAGGGAUAACAGCGUAAUUUUUUUUGAGAGAUCUUAUCGAAAGAAAAGAUUGCGACCUCGAUGUUGGAUUAAAAUAAAUUUCUGGUGUAGGAGCUAGAUUGAUUAGGUCUGUUCGACCUUUAAAAUUUUACUUGAUCUGAGUU